rnacentral:tRNA from 1 species
AAAUAUCAAGUAUCUAGUAUAAUUAUUACAUUUAAUUUCGGCUUAAAAAAUAACUGUUACUUUAUUAA